rnacentral:rRNA from 1 species
GCUUAACACAUGCAAGUCGAACGCUUCCGGACUUCGGUCCAUAUGGAAGAGUNGCGAACGGGUGAGUAACACGUAGGUAACGUGCCCUUUGGCNGGGGAUAACCACGGGAAACCGNNNCUAAUACCGCAUAUCGCGCAUCAGCUGCAAGGCAGAUGUGUGAAAGACUUCGGUCACCANNGGAGCNNGCCUGCGCCCAUUAUUUAAUCCUAGUUGGUAAGGUAACGGCUUACCAAGGGUACGAUGGGUAGCUGGUCUGAGAGGAUGAUCAGCCACACUGGGACUGAGACACGGCCCAGACUCCUACGGGAGGCAGCAGUGGGGAAUAUUGCGCAAUGGACGAAAGUCUGACGCAGCCACGCCGCGUGAGUGAUGAAGGCCUUAGGGUUGUAAAGCUCUGUCGGGAGGGACGAAGGUAGUUUACUACUUGACGGUACCU